rnacentral:rRNA from 1 species
GGCGGAGCAUGUGGAUUAAUUCGAUGCAACGCGAAGAACCUUACCUGGGUUUGACAUACACCGGAAACCUGCAGAGAUGUAGGCCCCCUUGUGGUCGGUGUACAGGUGGUGCAUGGCUGUCGUCAGCUCGUGUCGUGAGGUGUUGGGUUAAGUCCCGCAACGAGCGCAACCCUUAUCUUAUGUUGCCAGCGCGUAAUGGCGGGGACUCG